UAAGGCGACUAUGCCGAGAGUGCUCCACCUGAUCCCAUUCCGAACUCAGAAGUGAAAUCUCUCAUGGCCCAUGAUAGUCAAACUUAUUUGGCGAAAGUAGGUAGUCGCCCUAC
rfam:Candidatus Yanofskybacteria bacterium RIFCSPHIGHO2_01_FTLL_41_53 rifcsphigho2_01_scaffold_16356, whole genome shotgun sequence.